rnacentral:rRNA from 1 species
UACGUAGGGUGCGAGCGUUGUCCGGAAUUAUUGGGCGUAACGGGCUCGUAGGCGGUUUGUCGCGUCGGGCGUGAAAACCCAGGGCUUAACUCUGGGCUUGCUUUCGAUACGGGCAGACUAGAGGUAUGCAGGGGAGAACGGAAUUCCUGGUGUAGCGGUGAAAUGCGCAGAUAUCAGGAGGAACACCGGUGGCGAAGGCGGUUCGCUGGGCAUUACCUGACGCUGAGGAGCGAAGUGUGGGGAGCGAACAGG